GGCAAACGGGUGAGUAUAUGUGGGAAUCUGCCUUUUGGUUUGGAAUAACACGGGGAAACUUGUGCUAAUACCGAAUAAGCCCUUACGGGGAAAGUUUUAACGCCGAAAGAUGAGCCUGCACUUGAUUAGCUAGUUGGUAAGGUAAAGGCUUACCAAGGCAACGAUCAAUAGCUGUUCUUAGAGGAAGACCAGCCACAUUGGGACUGAGACACGGCCCAGACUCCUACGGGAGGCAGCAGUGGGGAAUCUUGCACAAUGGGGGAAACCCUGAUGCAGCGAUGCCGCGUGAGUGAAGAAGGCCUUUGGGUUGUAAAACUCUUUCGUCGGGGAAGAAAAUGACCGUACCCGAAUAAGAAGGUCCGGCUAACUUCGCGCCAGCAGCCGCGGUAAUACGAAGGGACCUAGCGUAGUUCGGAAUUACUGGGCUUAAAGAGCUCGUAAGUGGUUAAAAAAGUUGAUGGUGAAAUCCCAAGGCUCAACCUUGGAACUGCCAUCAAAACUUUUUAGCUAGAGUGUGAUAGAGGUAAGUGGAAUUUCUAGUGUAGAGGUGAAAUUCGUAGAUAUUAGAAAGAACACCAAAUGCGAAGGCAACUUACUGGGUCACUACUGACACUGAGGAGCGAAAGC
rnacentral:rRNA from 1 species